rnacentral:rRNA from 1 species
UACGGAGGGUGCGAGCGUUAAUCGGAAUUACUGGGCGUAAAGCGCGCGUAGGCGGUUCGAUAAGUCGGGUGUGAAAGCCCCGGGCUCAACCUGGGAAUUGCAUCCGAUACUGUCGGGCUAGAGUUUGGUAGAGGGAAGGGGAAUUCCGGGUGUAGCGGUGAAAUGCGUAGAUAUCCGGAGGAACACCGGUGGCGAAGGCGCCUUCCUGGAUCAAAACUGACGCUGAGGUGCGAAAGCGUGGGGAGCAAACAGG